AGAGCAUCCAAGCAAAGUGAGGAGAAGGUCAACAGAAGGAAAGGACCUCCAGCCUCUCUCUGGUGUGAGUGUGGUGGAGGGAGCAGAAUCCCAUGGAAGAAUUGUGAGGAAAGGAGAAUUUGAGAGUUUUGUUGAACAUAGAUGAAUUCCCUUAAACCUGUGGAGGGCAGCAGCAAAGUCCUUCUGUGCCAGCCUCUCCUUUGUGGCAGGGGAUGUCUGGAAGGAGGGCAAGAGAACAUUUGUGGUCUGCAGAGCAGAAAACAGGAACCCAGCUGCCAGGUGCCAGUUCAGCCUCUGCAGAUGUGACCAGGGAGGGAUGUUCACCCCUUUUCUUGUGGAGCACUCUGACAUUUGGGGAUAAGAG
rnacentral:lncRNA from 1 species